rnacentral:rRNA from 1 species
UACGGAGGGUGCAAGCGUUAUCCGGAUUCACUGGGUUUAAAGGGUGCGUAGGUGGGUCUGUAAGUCCGUGGUGAAAUCUCCGGGCUUAACUCGGAAAGGUCAACUGAUACUGUGCGACUAGAGUGCAGAAGGGGCAACUGGAAUUCUCGGUGUAGCGGUGAAAUGCGUAGAUAUCGAGAGGAACACCUGCGGCGAAGGCGGGUUGCUGGGCUGACACUGACGCUGAUGCGCGAAAGCCAGGGGAGCGAACGGG